CUUCCUUAAGGAGCCCAUGACUUUCAGGUGUUCUGUUACUUGAGUGAAUUUUAGAACAUUAAUAUCUGAGAAGUGUUGGGGCAAAAAGAAGGGCCUGGCGUCUGACUUUGUUUAAACCAGGGACUGAGGAAACACAGAUGAGGAUCAUGAAUAGAAGACUUUUCUAGGGCACUGUAACUUGCCUGUUUAUUAUUUUGGUGAUGUCCUGGCUGUUGGCACAAAGAAGUGAAGGUCAUGUGCUUACAUCUUUGGAGGCCAUGGGGCUAGGGACACUGGGGAGAGAACCUCAGGGUUGAGCUGGCCACAACCUUCAGAGAGGAAGACCAGAUGACUCCUGGGACCCACAGGCCAAAGGGCACUUUAAGAAGCUAUGAAAAAUCACUGGGGUGGCUUAACAGGGAGCCCAUGUGGUACAGUGGGAAAAACUGAGAGAACAAAAACAAAGAAACAAUCUAGGUCUGGGUCAGGGACAGGGGUCUCCUCCCUAACCUCCACUCCCCAUUUGACCUUUGUUCCACAUUUGGACCGUAUUGCAGGGGGCAACCUCCCUCAUGAAGGGGACUUUCUAUGGGACAAGGUCAGCAGAUCAAAGUCUACAGCAGGAGGCUCUAGAUAUCAGCCCCACUGCCAACCCAAACUGAGUGGGUUUCCCAGAGCCCAGCGACGUCUUCCCAGCCUCCUUUGCAGCUGGGAUGCAGGCAUUCAGCCAGUCACAUGCCCCCGUGUUAGACUUUGUGUCUGAAGCAGGCACCAAGAGGAAACCGCCCUGGGGAGGGGAUGACCUCUGUAUCCUACUUCUGGAGGCUGAGGAGGUUGAGACCCCCUUGGGACCACCAGGGCCCAGGACUGGUGAACACAGAGAUUACGGAAAACCGGCCUGGCCUUUUACUCCCCCUUCGGAGAGACCAGGCACUGCCGCUAGCGGAUGUGUCUCCAUCCCCACAUCCUUCCUUGAUGGGUGUGGAGGGCCCUGAGGUCACCCUCCCCACCUUUACCAACGGAAAAAUUGAGACUCAAGCAGAGGUGGAUGCUGGGCCUUGGGCCAGGGACAUCCAAUCUUACACGCGGGACUAGAGCCCUCGAUCCCCUCACCCCGGCCCGGUCCGCUACAGGUCCUCAGACGUUCUACGGGAAAGGGCGGCCCCUGGUGGUGAAGAGAAGCGUGGCUGCCUGUCCUUAUCCUGAGGAUAGGCAGACAGAGGAAGGGGCGUGGCCUGCAGGACCACCAACCCAGGUUAAUUACCACCUGCUGUUGAUGCCAGGACCUUGCAGAAAUCUGUGACGCUCUACACAAACGGAAGAUUUUAAAAACAUGUGCAAACAAGAUAGAAGGUGUUAUUAAGACAAUGAGUUUCUGUUUAUGAUUUUAUUAUUUUUUUUAAGAUUUUAUUUUUAAGUAAUCUGCACACCCAACCUGGGGCUUGAACUUACAACCCCGAGACCGAGAGCUACAUGCUGUACUGACUGAGCCGGCCAGGUGCCCCUCUGUGCUUUAAAUGACGGUUUUAACAAACUUUUAUUUAAACAUUCAUGUGCCAAGAAUAACCCUGUCAAAAUGGGAAUCUUGCAGUUGCAUCAGGAUGUAGAAGCAGUAUAGGUGCAGGCAGGUACUUUCAUGUACAGAAUAGGUAUGUUCCUGAGUCGCUCCCAUGGCUCUGAAGGGGAAAGAAUCCAACUUUUGUUGCACCUUACCCUUAGCCACAUUCCCUGUGAUGACCUAAUUGACACUGCCCUGUGACUUUACCUGUGCCCUGUAGGCUGGAUCUUCAGGAAACAGGGACAGGCAUAAAAUGGCUUUUGGCAUAUGGCAGGCAAGUGACACAGGCUCUAACUGAUUCCAGAGUCCAGUGCUCAGUCCAGGAAUGCAGAAGUUCGCUAUCACAGGAGAGUCUUAUUAAAGAGUCCAGGGACUGGGGCAAGGUUGUCUCCAAGUUUCCAUGGUAUCUAUCUCUCGUCUCUAGGGGCAGAGGGGCUAUGUAACAAACGACAUGUUGUCUUAACAAAAAUACUUGGAAAACCGAGCCUUUGAGAAUUUCCCAGACAGAAAUGGGCAUGCUUAGAGACCACUUGACUAAUUAAUACCACUCCUGUUACCAAGGGAACCUGGGCAAUCUACUUUGAAUAUCCUUUCUGGAGUGGUUUCUAACAAUUCCAAGAUUAAAUGAAACGUUUCUAGGAAACAGCUGGUUCGACCUAACUACAGAAGAAUAAAAUCUCACUGGCAUUACGGGGUUGUGGCUAUACCUUAGAUAUUUUCCUAUAAACCUUGAUGAUCAGGGACACAGCAGUACAUGAUCAGAUCAGAAAGUGUAUAAGCUGAAAAUAGGGCUGGAGACAGAAAGUCCAAUGUGUUGCUGGCCACUGUGGUGUCACUGCUCCCGAUACAGGUGUAACCUGAAUCCCCACUUGGGAGCCAGAAAUCAGCUGAGAAGAGGCCUCUGGAGAGACACUGCCUUGGCUCUGGAAGGUGGAUGAAGUGAGCUCAUCGUACUGAGCAGACUGGACUGAGUUCCUGACUUGUACUGAAGGGAUUAGGUAAGUCUCUUCUGUAAUGCCUCAGACGAUCCUUGGAUAACCAGGAAGUUAGGACAAGAGUCUGGCCCUUGACC